AUGCAUACAUAUGGCUUCCAUUUGCUUGAAUUCACGCCGAAUGCAAUUGCUUGUAUGUCAGCUUUUGCACAUCUUUGCAAAAAUUUCGCUGUGGUGAUUCUGAACACCACACUCUUCUGCCAUUAUUUCAUUCCCUCACUCGAAUAUGGAGAUGCCCUUUCUGGUUCCAUCACUUGGAUUCCAAGGCCUGGGACCAAGGAAAUAUAUCCAGAAGGAGUAGGACAUAACAAGUGGGAAGAAUGGCAGGGCGAGUUGUGUUGGAUCAAGGAAGAUGAUUUCUCUCAUUUCUGCUUGCCUCGGCAGGCCAAACCAGUUCGCAGCAAGGAUUGA
rnacentral:rRNA from 1 species